CAUGUGAUAAGGAGAGUUGUUCAGAAUGUAGGGGACAUUAUUCAUAGGAGCAGAUAAGGGAGAGUAACUUGAGGUCAGGACAUUUGAGACUCCUUAUUUCAGAUGUCAAGGCAGCACAAAAUAUGAACUUCAGGCUUUCACAACACCAUUAUAUAACUAUGCCUUUUUUCUUAUUGGCUGCCCACAAAGAAGAUAAUAAGCUGGAUGUCUACUUCCAGAGUCCAUUGCAAAUGGCAUCCCCAGAUCCUUCUUUUGGCUGCAUCAAGCUAUUUCCAGUUUCAAAGCAACUACACAAAGCCAGCAUGAAAUCGAGGUGAUCCGGAGGACUGCUUCAGUGAGGCUCAUUGGAAUGAACAAUGGCAGAAGGCUGGAAAUUCAACUUUCUAGUACUUGCAACACAGCAAACCUUCCCAUGCACAUGCUUCCCAAAGAAUCAUUCCUUGAAGGGAAUUGUCUUACUAAACUAACAAUCAUUAAAUGA